rnacentral:misc_RNA from 1 species
GAAGUGCGAUAAGCAAUGCGAAUUGCAGAAUUCCGCGAAUCAUCAGAUCUUUGAACGCAAAUGGCGCCAGAGGGAUAUCCUUUUGGCAUGUCUAUUUCAGUGUCUGAGAGGUUUCACCUUUAUCUUAAUGUGAUUGACUUGUGGUUUGGUCGUUUUUAUACUACCUUAUUCACUGUCUCUCAUGAAAGAUGCGCGAGUGGAUCUUUCGGUCCAAUGAAGUGGUCACAUCACUCGUAUGUGAUUUCAUUGGAAGCACCGAAUUAUCCGCAACCUCGCGGUUCCUGUAUGAUGAUAGUUAGUUAGUUUUACUACUAAUACUACUGUUGUCAUUACUACUCUCUACACCCUGCAUCUGAGAUAGGCAAGAUCACCCGCUGAACUUAA